GAUGAACGCUAGCUAUAGGCUUAACACAUGCAAGUCGAGGGGAAACGGCAGAGAGUGCUUGCACACUUUGGACGUCGACCGGCGCACGGGUGAGUAACGCGUAUCCAACCUGCCCUUUACUUGGGGAUAACCCGUUGAAAGACGGACUAAUACCCAAUGAUAUUCAUUGAUGACAUCUGAUUUGAAUUAAAGAUUUAUCGGUAUAGGAUGGGGAUGCGUCUGAUUAGCUUGUUGGUGAGGUAACGGCUCACCAAGGCAACGAUCAGUAGGGGUUCUGAGAGGAAGGUCCCCCACAUUGGAACUGAGACACGGUCCAAACUCCUACGGGAGGCAGCAGUGAGGAAUAUUGGUCAAUGGACGAGAGUCUGAACCAGCCAAGUAGCGUGCAGGAUGACGGCCCUAUGGGUUGUAAACUGCUUUUGUUUGGGAAUAAUCGACAUUACGUGUAAUGUUUUGCAUGUACCAUUCGAAUAAGGACCGGCUAAUUCCGUGCCAGCAGCCGCGGUAAUACGGAAGGUCCAGGCGUUAUCCGGAUUUAUUGGGUUUAAAGGGAGUGUAGGCGGUUGGUUAAGCGUGUUGUGAAAUGUAGAUGCUCAACAUCUGACUUGCAGCGCGAACUGGCUGACUUGAGUACACACAACGUAGGCGGAAUUCAUGGUGUAGCGGUGAAAUGCUUAGAUAUCAUGAAGAACUCCGAUUGCGAAGGCAGCUUACGGGAGUGUUACUGACGCUUAAGCUCGAAGGUGCGGGGUAUCGAACAGG
rnacentral:rRNA from 1 species